rnacentral:rRNA from 1 species
UACGUAGGGUCCGAGCGUUGUCCGGAAUUAUUGGGCGUAAAGGGCUCGUAGGCGGUUUGUCGCGUCGGGAGUGAAAACUCAGGGCUUAACCCUGAGCCUGCUUCCGAUACGGGCAGACUAGAGGUAUGCAGGGGAGAACGGAAUUCCUGGUGUAGCGGUGGAAUGCGCAGAUAUCAGGAGGAACACCGGUGGCGAAGGCGGGUCUCUGGGCCGAUACUGACGCUGAGGAGCGAAAGCGUGGGGAGCAAACAGG